UACGAAGGGAGCGAGCGUUGUUCGGAAUCACUGGGCUUAAAGCGUGCGUAGGUGGAUUGGUAAGUAAGGAGUGAAAUCCCAGGCUUAACUCCGGGUCUGCAUUCGAUACGGGCAGGCUAGAGUUCGGUAGGGGAGAUCGGAAUUCCUGGUGUAGCGGUGAAAUGCGCAGAUAUCAGGAGGAACACCGGUGGCGAAGGCGGAUCUCUGGGCCGAUACUGACGCUGAGGAGCGAAAGCGUGGGGAGCGAACAGG
rnacentral:rRNA from 1 species